AGUGCCUAGUUAGUUAGCGGCUUCCAUUUGCAUUAGAGUGCCCGUAUACUUGAGAGAUGUUGAUGUAUAUAUUGGAGAGUCGCAUAUGUAUUUUGGAGAUGGAUUUGUAAAACUUUGUAUAUAUAUAUUUUGGAGAUGUAAAUGUAAAUUUGAUGUAAAUGUUGGAUGAAAUGUAAUAGUUAGAUAUAUCUCUCUCUUGUUCACUUGU
rnacentral:lncRNA from 1 species